UACGAAGGGGGCUAGCGUUGCUCGGAAUCACUGGGCGUAAAGCGCACGUAGGCGGCUUUCUAAGUCAGGGGUGAAAUCCUGGAGCUUAACUCCGAAACUGCAUUCGAUACUGCCGUGCUUGAGGACUGGAGAGGAGACUGGAAUUUACGGUGUAGCGGUGAAAUGCGUAGAUAUCGUAAGGAAGACCAGUGGCGAAGGCGGGUCUCUGGACAGUUCCUGACGCUGAGGCACGAAGGCCAGGGGAGCAAACGGG
rnacentral:rRNA from 1 species